rnacentral:rRNA from 1 species
UACGUAGGGCGCAAGCGUUGUCCGGAAUUAUUGGGCGUAAAGAGCUCGUAGGCGGCUUGUCACGUCGGAUGUGAAAGCCCGGGGCUUAACUCCGGGUCUGCAUUCGAUACGGGCUGGCUAGAGUGUGGUAGGGGAGAUCGGAAUUCCUGGUGUAGCGGUGAAAUGCGCAGAUAUCAGGAGGAACACCGGUGGCGAAGGCGGAUCUCUGGGCCGUAACUGACGCUGAGGAGCGAAAGCAUGGGGAGCGAACAGG